GACGAACGCUGGCGGCGUGCCUAAUACAUGCAAGUUGAGCGCUGAAGGUUGGUACUUGUACCAACUGGAUGAGCAGCGAACGGGUGAGUAACGCGUGGGGAAUCUGCCUUUGAGCGGGGGACAACAUUUGGAAACGAAUGCUAAUACCGCAUAAAAACUUUAAACACAAGUUUUAAGUUUGAAAGAUGCAAUUGCAUCACUCAAAGAUGAUCCCGCGUUGUAUUAGCUAGUUGGUGAGGAAAAGGCUCACCAAGGCGAUGAUACAUAGCCGACCUGAGAGGGUGAUCGGCCACAUUGGGACUGAGACACGGCCCAAACGCCUACGGGAGGCAGCAGUAGGGAAUCUUCGGCAAUGGACGAAAGUCUGACCGAGCAACGCCGCGUGAGUGAAGAAGGUUUUCGGAUCGUAAAACUCUGUUGGUAGAGAAGAACGUUGGUGAGAGUGGAAAGCUCAUCAAGUGACGGUAACUACCCAGAAAGGGACGGCUAACUACGUG
rnacentral:rRNA from 1 species